AUGCCAUGAUGAGGGUAAGCUUCAAUCAAAUCACUUAAUCUUUCCCAAGCUUCAACAAUUGACUCCCUAUCCUUUUGACUGAAGUUUUAGAUGAGGUACCUGUAGUGC
rfam:Lupinus angustifolius cultivar Tanjil contig_36725, whole genome shotgun sequence.